GACGAACGCUGGCGGCGUGCUUAACACAUGCAAGUCGAACGGAAAGGCCCUGCUUUUGUGGGGUGCUCGAGUGGCGAACGGGUGAGUAACACGUGAGCAACCUGCCCUUGACUUUGGGAUAACUUCAGGAAACUGGGGCUAAUACCGGAUAGGAGCUCCUGCUGCAUGGUGGGGGUUGGAAAGUUUCGGCGGUUGGGGAUGGACUCGCGGCUUAUCAGCUUGUUGGUGGGGUAGUGGCUUACCAAGGCUUUGACGGGUAGCCGGCCUGAGAGGGUGACCGGCCACAUUGGGACUGAGAUACGGCCCAGACUGCUACGGGAGGCAGCAGUGGGGAAUAUUGCACAAUGGGCGGAAGCCUGAUGCAGCAACGCCGCGUGCGGGAUGACGGCCUUCGGGUUGUAAACCGCUUUCGCCUGUGACGAAGCGUGAGUGACGGUAAUGGGUAAAGAAGCACCGGCUAACUACGUG
rnacentral:rRNA from 1 species